rnacentral:lncRNA from 1 species
CUCUAUUUAUAGAUGAUUUUUAUGACCCAAUAAGUAUAGGACUCUAAAUUCAAACAUGCUUUGAAUCAGUCCAAUACACAUGAAAGAAGGACUCCAACAUGAGAUAGAAUUGGAACCACAUAAGGCGCCCACAAUGCACCCAUUCCCUCACCCAUAUAGGAUGCCCCAACCAGCACCAUACCAGGUGCUAGUCAGCCCA